UCCUCGUUUAAGCGAGGCAGUCUGUCCAGAGUGCUUUCCGCUCUCGCGGAAGUGGCAACAGGACACAAGGGUUGCGCUCGUUGCGGGACUUAACCCAACAUCUCACGACACGAGCUGACGACAGCCAUGCAGCACCUGUGUAGGCUGGUAUUGCUACCUCGUCACCCUUUCAGGCUUCUACUACCUACAUGUCAAGGCCAGGUAAGGUUCUUCGCGUUGCAUCGAAUUAAGCCACAUACUCCACCGCUUGUGCAGGCCCCCGUCAAUUUCUUUGAGUUUUAAUCUUGCGACCGUACUCCCCAGGCGGCACGUUUAACGCGUUAGCUUCGCCACGGACGGGGUCGAAUCCGCCCACAGCAAACGUGCACCGUUUACGGCUAGGACUAC
rnacentral:misc_RNA from 1 species